GAGAGUGAAUGUGCUGUGCUUGCUGCCCCACUCCUCCUGAUGGACCAGCCCCCCAUGGUGCCAGGGCUGUAGGGCUUCCCUGGCUAGCGACUCAAUGUAGGCAAGAGAGUUUCCCUUCUGGGUUCCUCUCUCAUUUUGGGAUGCUCUCUUUCUCCUCUCUCCCCACCGUCAACUCUGGGGUCCUGUCUCUGCUAGCAGUCAGCCACCGAGGAGGACAUUCCCAAUGUCAAGGAGGACGAAGGAAAAGGCGAGGAGGAGACGACCGCAAGACGGCUGGAUCUCCUCAGCCCUGACUGGGUAGGUGGCCGUGGCCUAAGUGGUGAUUGGCAGAAGGGGAGGGGGGCAUAUCAACCGCAGAAUGGAACUGUUGUUUCAGUUAUGGGUGCCUUGAGUUUUAACGUUUGGUUGCGUUUUUUAAUUGCUCGUUUUUUGCAUCUUUUCCUUGCAGGUUCCAAGUAUGUCACCAUUUUCCAGUGUUUCCUCCCUGUCCUCCCUGGAUUCCCUUUGGGACUCCCUCAAUGAGGUACGUAGCAGACAGAGCAGGAGGGAAGCCCUGCUGAGCUGCACAUGGGCAACCCUGAGGCUGGGGAGGAGGAGGAAGAGGAGGAAGAGGAGGAUGCUGGCUGGCUGACCGGCCAGGCCACCUUCUGGACGGUUGAGAGCAAGGGGGCAAACAGGCAGGGGGCUGCUAAGGGCAGACCAUGCUUGCUGCCCCACUCCUCCUGAUGGACCAGCCCCCCAUGGUGCCAGGGCUGUAGGGCUUCCCUGGCUAGCGACUCAAUGUAGGCAAGAGAGUUUCCCUUCUGGGUUCCUGUCUCAUUUUGGGAUGCUCUCUUUCUCCUCUCUCCCCACCGUCAACUCUGGGGUCCUGUCUCUGCUAGCAGUCCGCCACUGAGGAGGACAUUCCCAAUGUCAAGGAGGACGAAGGAAAAGGCGAGGAGGAGACGACCGCAAGACGGCUGGAUCUCCUCAGCCCUGACUGGGUUCCAAGCAUGUCACCAUUUUCCAGUGUUUCCUCCCUGUCCUCCCUGGAUUCCCUUUGGGACUCCCUCAAUGAGGCAGUCUCUGAAGUGGCUAUCGAGGAGGAAGAGCCACAGGAAGUACCAGAGAGCCCCCCAGAGGAGGACGGGGAGGACAAGGAGGACAAGGAGGCCCUUUAUUCGCCGUGCCCCCCACCUGGAGAACACCUGGAGGCAAGCAUAAUCGAGGUCAGACGAAACACACAUUCAUUCAUGACAUUUGA
rnacentral:lncRNA from 1 species